CCUACGGGCUGCAGCAGUGGGGAAUAUUGCACAAUGGGCGCAAGCCUGAUGCAGCCAUGCCGCGUGUAUGAAGAAGGCCUUCGGGUAGUAAAAUACUUUCAGCGGGGAGGAAGGUGUUGUGGUUAAUAACCACAGCAAUUGACGUUACCCGCAGAAGAAGCACCGGCUAACUCCGUGCCAGCAGCCGCGGUAAUACGGAGGGUGCAAGCGUUAAUCGGAAUUACUGGGCGUAAAGCGCACGCAGGCGGUUGAUUAAGUUAGAUGUGAAAUCCCCGGGCUUAACCUGGGAAUGGCAUCUAAGACUGGUCAGCUAGAGUCUUGUAGAGGGGGGGUAGAAUUCCAUGUGUAGCGGUGAAAUGCGUAGAGAUGUGGAGGAAUACCGGUGGCGAAGGCGGCCCCCUGGACAAAGACUGGCGCUCAGGUGCGAAAGCGUGGGGAGCAAACAGGAUUAGAUAC
rnacentral:rRNA from 1 species